rnacentral:rRNA from 1 species
CCUACGGGAGGCUGCAGUGGGGGAUAUUGCACAAUGGGGGGAACCCUGAUGCAGCGACGCCGCGUGGGUGAAGAAGCGCCUCGGCGCGUAAAGCCCUGUCAGCAGGGAAGAAAAUGACGGUACCUGAAGAAGAAGCCCCGGCUAACUACGUGCCAGCAGCCGCGGUAAUACGUAGGGGGCAAGCGUUAUCCGGAUUUACUGGGUGUAAAGGGGGCGCAGACGGCGAUGCAAGCCAGGAGUGAAAGCCCGGGGCCCAACCCCGGGACUGCUCUUGGAACUGCGUGGCUAGAGUGCAGGAGGGGCAGGCGGAAUUCGUGGUGUAGCGGUGAAAUGCGUAGAUAUCAGGAAGGACACCGGUGGCGAAGGCGGCCUGCUGGACUGCAACUGACGUUGAGGCCCGAAAGCGUGGGGAGCAAACAGGAUUAGAUACCCGAGUAGUC